rnacentral:rRNA from 1 species
GAGUUUGAUCCUGGCUCAGAUUGAACGCUGGCGGCAUGCCUUACACAUGCAAGUCGAACGGCAGCACGGGAGCUUGCUCCUGGUGGCGAGUGGCGAACGGGUGAGUAAUGCAUCGGAACGUAUCCUGGAGUGGGGGAUAACGUAGCGAAAGUUACGCUAAUACCGCAUAUUCUGUGAGCAGGAAAGCGGGGGACCUUCGGGCCUCGCGCUCUUGGAGCGGCCGAUGUCGGAUUAGCUAGUUGGUGAGGUAAAGGCUCACCAAGGCGACGAUCCGUAGCAGGUCUGAGAGGAUGAUCUGCCACACUGGAACUGAGACACGGUCCAGACUCCUACGGGAGGCAGCAGUGGGGAAUUUUGGGCAAUGGACGCAAGUCUGACCCAGCAACGCCGCGUGAAGGAAGAAGGCUUUCGGUUGUAAACUUCUUUGACAGGGAAGAGUAGAAGACGGUACCC